CUAAGGCUAAGGCUAAGGCCAAAGCUGCUCCUGCCAAGGCUAAGCCAGCUGCCAAGGCUAAGCCUGCUGCGAAGGCAAAGCCUGCUGCCAAGGCUAAGCCUGUGGCGAAGGCGAAGCCCAAGGCGAAGGCUCCUGUUGCUAAGGCCAAUGCUGUACCUGUGGCUGCUAAGGCAAAGCCCGCGGCUAAGGCUAAGCCAGCUGCCAAGGCGAAACCAGCUGCGAGGCCUGCUAAGGCUUCAAGAACUUCAACAAGGAC
rnacentral:lncRNA from 1 species